rnacentral:lncRNA from 1 species
GCCCCACCCCCUCUCUCUCAUCUACCUCUUAAAAAUCGACCAUCACCGAUGCCAAAACCGUCGCCUCCUCCGGCAACGCAGCGACCAUCCGCCACUGGUCAAGCCACUGCGAUCCCUCUUCUCCGACCAAGCCCCGCGCCACCAGUAUCCCUCAAACCACGUCGCCGGUGACCUCUUUCAUUUCCGUCAUGCCACUAGCCAACGUUGCCUCUUCGACGAAUCUCCAAACGCUGCUACUCCGCCACCGUGACAACAGCAGCAAUGACGUUCCGCCGCCCUUCUCCUCCGCCAUCGCCAGACAUCAGUUCGCCUCUGCCCGACAUCGCCACCCUUUGCCGCGCUGCUCCGGUCGAGUCCACAA